AUGGAUCCCAGAACUUCACACCCCACUCGCCCCAGCACCCUGCACCCUUUGCCAGGAGGGGCUGGAGACGCCCUCCCCCUUGGUUUGGGGUUACCAGCAGACAAUCCGGGGACCCCCCUGCAGGGGCUGGGUGCCAGCUGCAACGCCCAUGGGUCUGGCAGGGUUUGGGCAGGGCUGGCCAUGCCGGGCAGAGCCCCGGCCCCGCGGCGCAGCCUUGCCCGGGUGCUUUACGUAAGGAGCCUGUUUUCACAACAGCUGGUUUUCCCCUGGCAGCCCCCCCCCUGCACAUUCCCUUCCCCGCGCCCCGCUGCGAGGCCGCCCUGCCCCGCGCACCCCGCGCCUGCCCGGCCCCGAGGAUUUAUGAAAACAAAACAAAAGCUGAGCCAGGCAGGACUGGACAUCACGAGAACCUGGCUGGGGCCCCACACGCUGUGCUGGGGCUCAGUCUCCCCCGGAGCUCACCCUCAGGGUGCCAGGGGAACUCUUGCCAUCGGGCACAGAGGCAGUGACACCCGGGGGUGUCACUGUCACCUGGCACUGCGGCAGGAACACAAAGUCCCCCCUGCUGCCAGGUACUCCCAGCUCCCUGCCCAGGUGCCAGGAGGGGGUGCCCGAUGGAUACCUGGGUGGUGCCAGGCUCUCCUGGAGGUGGCAAAGCUGGGAGCCAGCCCAAGGACCUGGAGGUGGCAAAGCUGGUGCAAGCUCAGGAGUACGGGAGUGCUUGAGCAAGGCUGGGGGCAGGAUGGGGUAUCUGGGCUGUGGGUCCCCGUGGCAGCUGGACACAGACCCUUGGGCAUAACUCGGGUGUUUGCACCCGGAGAUGGUUUAGCCCCAACGACAGAUGGGCUGAGCCAGGAUGAGGGGUGUGGGGAAUCCUUGGGGGCCAGCCCAGCUCCCGGGGGAUCUCCCCUUGCCCCCCUAUCCCCCUGCCCAGUGCAGCCACUUCGGGGUGCAGGUGAAGUGAGCUGGAUCCACUACAGCCCAGCCCUGGCAGGCUCGGGGGGGGCCAGGCUGGACUGCACGUGGGCGGUGGGAACAGGGGCUGGCUCCGGGCACAGCACGUGGCUUCCCUUACAUAAUUCCCUGAUAAACAACAUGUGUGACCAGUUCCCGCUAGGAUUGCAAAAUGCUGGGGGCAGAGGGCUGCGGGGGGACUGGGCCCCCACCUGCCUGCUGCGGGGCUGCUCCCUGUCCCCUCCUGAAGCCAGUGGCAGUGGGCCACUCGCCUGGAAUGCGUGGCAGGACAGCCUUGGCCAGGCUCCACAUACAGGGAGGAGGGGUCCGAUGAGGGGCUGCAGCAUUAACCCUGGGGCUCUCCCCUAG
rnacentral:lncRNA from 1 species